rnacentral:tRNA from 6 species
GGCGGAUGUAGCCAAGUGGCUC